CUGGAAUUGCUCCGGCUUCCCUGCAGCUCCGUGACACCACGGGCGGUGUCUGCAGUGACAGCUCUGUUUUCUGAGGAUCUGCGGUAGGGCAAGGCAUCUAGGGUGCUCUCAUGUCCCGCAUGUGGGAUGUCGGAGGACAGAUGCUCUGGUCCUUCCCACCCCUGUGCUUGCCACGUGGGACCUUCCAGGGAGGAAGCGCACCCCUCGGGCCUCCAUGGCAGUUUCCUCCCCAGCUGGCUGCUCCCGGACCUGGAUCACAUACAGCAGCUGAGAGAAGCCUCACAAGCAAGUCUUGUACUUCACCUACGCUGUCCCCUAUAUUUAGCAAUCCCGUUUGAAGAACAUUCAGUAUUGGAACAUCAAUAUUCACAUCAAAGCCCAAAACUUUACCAAACUUUCAUAAGAUCUGCACCACCAUGAGACAGUCUGAAAAUGUACUUCCAGACAGAACAUGUCCUGGAACAUGAGGCAACUAUGGCAAAGGAUGAAAA